rnacentral:lncRNA from 1 species
CUGGCUGCCCUUAAGUAGUUAAAAAUAACGAUGGCUCUUCUACAUUAUUGAUUGUCUGAUGUCUUUGCAGGUGAGAAAUAGAUGAUGGGAGAAUGGGGGAAGAUAUAAAUGCCUUGAUUGAAUAAAUAAAUGGAGCAUUCAUGGAGCUUCACUAACGGAUAGCAUCACACUGUCGCCUGAAAUUGCAGUAGUGUAUACACCCAGGGUAUGUAUAUGGAACUAGCUACGUGAGUCAUGUACUCAUGUUUGAAAUAUAUUAUUUCCUGAUGAAGGUGCCAUAGCUUUGGCUGGACGUAAGAACAUGCUUGGAGGUGAUUGGUAAUUUAAAAUUAAUCUUUGUUGCAACAUAACUUCUGGCAAGGAAUUAUUGGGACAUUUUUACCAAGUAAUUGAUUUUUUUUCUUUGAGCUGCAGUUUGUUAACCAACUAGAUGCACCAUUUUUAACAAAGCCCUUACUGUCCAUUUUCUUUGCAUUCUCGUGCGGAUUUUUACACGCCCGUUUUCUAUAGCAGGCGCUUACAUGCCCAUGUCAGAGUUAAUGGAGGAUGAAGUGUGACCGUACUAACUCCUUGUGUGUACAACGACGUGUGCCAGUACUAUCUCCCUGACCGGCUCCUUUGGCUCUCCCUGUGCGGCAGCGGCUCAAUCUCCGCGGUGCCGUCGGGGAGGAGGGGCUGGGGCGGCCGUGUCUGGUGCGCUCUCGCUACUCAUCGACCUUGCUGUUACUACCUCAUCCUUGAAGCCAUGGGUGCCCUCUAAUUUUCCCUUUGGAGUGUUCAAUGCAAACUACAAAAGUAGAGCUGGUUGGCUGGAUAAUCAGCUUAGCUGUUGAUUUGAUUAGGGGAUAGCAUCUGAAGUGAGUAAACGGAAAGAACGUGAGCGUCCAAGCAGGAACUGCAAAUGCUCUAUUUUAGUCAAAGCAUGGGAAUGUGCCCAAGGGAAAGGUCAGCUCUUGCAAUAUCAUUUUCAUGAUAUAGUGAUCAAGUUUCUAAACAAUCCUUGAGACAUGCCUUCCAAUAGUAUUUUAUUCCAUGGUCCAUAUUUGUAUGUCAUUUCCAUGAUACAAUGAUUUACUUUUUAGUUGUAUAUGCCUCCAAAUUUGCUUUACAUGUAACCAUUGUAGAGGAUAGUAUAAUGUGAUAUUCGGAUGCCCUAACUAGCAGUAUGUGAUUUCUUGACAUUUUCCUAGCAAUUUCACUUUAGUUUUAUUCUUUACUUUUAGGUAUUUGUGUGAUUGAUCAGAACUACAUACAUAACAAUGCAAGGACACAAUAUAAUUGGGAAUUUUCAAGGCUAGCACAUGGAGCGGCAAAAGGGAGGAGGAGCUACCACGGAGGCUAGGUAACUCGAGGAUGUUCUAGAAUUAGGGUAGAAUAAGCCUGACUCUACAAGAAAAUACAUCGGAUAAUUAGGAAACAAGGCACUGACAAAAAACAAGAAAAUACAGAGACCAAAUACUUGAGGGGCUGCAACUCUGCAAGACUGAAAUUAACGAAAAGCUAAGCCUUUUAUUGUUUAGAUAAACAAACAGCUAAGUCAAUUGAGGAGUGAUCUCCGCAGCUCCCAGGUCACUAGAGGAGUCAAAGAUUGUCCGCUGAAAGACGGACAAGUGAUCAUGUUUUAUCAUUGUUUGAAAGGAGUAGUGGACGCGGAUGUAUGUAUAUUUUUCGUUCAAAGUAAUGGAAGUGCAAAUUUGUAUAUACUUUACUGGCAUUAUUUAGUGGAUUUUAUUAUAUUGAAUAAAUUGGAUUUUAUAUUGUGUUC